AAUACAAAUAUGUGGAUACAUCCUGAAGAUGAAGCAACAUAUGAAAAUAUUCUCAAAGUGCAAGCGGAUCAUUGUCAAGAUCCUAAUGCUAUUCCCCUUACACAAGAGGAGAUCUUAAACUUGGUGUUUAAGAAGAAGUCUGGUAUUGUAAAAGGACUUGGCAUGAGACCUUCCUCUUCUCUAGUAACCACCGCCUCCUUUAAUUCAUCGGUGGAGUAUAUCCAACGGUUAGAAAAUGAGAUAAUUGAGCUCAAAGAGGCAAGAGUUAGAGAUCAAGAGGAGCGAGCUAAGGACCAAGAUGCACGAACUAAACAAGAUGAGGUCCAAAAGAAUAUUCUUAACUUUUUAAGGAGCAAGGGUUAUGAUGAUGCUCUUACUUAUAGGGGUGGUUCAACUUCAAGUUAAAACACUUUUUGAUUUCUUAUUGGUGGCUUUUAGGGGAUUUACUUUUGGCAUUACUUGAAGACAUAUGAGAACAUCUUCCGUUAGUUCUAAAAUAGGGUUUAGGUAGAGUUAUUGUAUGUAUUGCAAACAAUUAUUGUAUGGAAGAAGUUUGAAUUAGAUACUUAUUUUAUUUUUUA